GGGCUCUUCGGAGCUAGUGGCGGACGGGUGAGGAACGCGUGAAAACCUGCCUCAAGGUCGGGGACAACAGUUGGAAACCACUGCUAAUACCGGAUGAGCCGUAUAGGUAAAAGAUUUAUCGCCUAGAGAGGGGCUCGCGUCUGAUUAGCUCGAUGGUGGGGUAAAAGCUUACCAUGGCGACGAUCAGUAGCUGGUCUGAGAGGAUGAGCAGCCACACUGGGACUGAGACACGGCCCAGACUCCUACGGGAGGCAGCAGUGGGGAAUUUUCCGCAAUGGGCGAAAGCCUGACGGAGCAAUACCGCGUGAGGGAGGAAGGCUCUUGGGUUGUAAACCUCAAAACUUAGGGAAGAAAAAAAUGACGGUACCUAAUAUAAGCAUCGGCUAACUCCGUGCCAGCAGCCGCGGUAAUACGGAGGAUGCAAGCGUUAUCCGGAAUCAUUGGGCGUAAAGAGUCCGUAGGUGGCACAUCAAGUCUGCUUUCAAAGACCGAAGCUCAACUUCGGAAAGGGAGUGGAAACUGAAGAGCUAGAGUAUAGUAGGGGUAGAGGGAAUUCCUAGUGUAGCGGUGAAAUGCGUA
rnacentral:rRNA from 1 species